GGGGUAUUCAGAGGACACUGUUCCCUUGUAGAUUCCCUGCCUCUGGCUCUUACAGCCUUUCUGCUCCCUCUUCCACAAUGACCCCUAAGCCUUGGGAGAUGGGCAGAGGACACCAUCACUUGAGUAAAGCAGCAGUCUUCAGAAGGGGAAAAAAUCUUCAUCAGUUAUUUAUACAUCUGACAGAAGGUAGAUGGAUGGAGCUGAAAACAGUCUUUCUGAGUGAGACCCUCUCCCACAUCUCCCUCUUCCUGCCCCCCAUUCACUCCUCCUCCUCUGUUUCUCUUCAGAAAAGGGCAAGCCUCCCAAGGGUAUCAGCCACCCAAUGUAUAUCAAGCUGCAGUGAGUCCAGGCACCUCCUCUUCUAUUAAAGCUCCUUGAGGCAAUCCAGUAGGAGGAAUGGGUCCCAAAAGCAGACGUCAGAGUCAGAGACAGCCCCUGCUCCCACUGUUAGGAGUCUCACAAGAAGACUAAGUUACACAACUUAACAUACAUGCAUGGGGCCAAGGUGCCCCUUGCAGGCUUCCUGGUUGUCCGUUCAGUCUCUGUGAGUAUCUGCAAG